CUUAUUUAUUGCAGUUUCCAUAAUACUGUGUCUUCUGCUGAUUGUCUUGGUCGUGUUCAUGAGAAAGAAGUGCAUCACAUCACAAGGACGUCAGACUGGUCAACAAAGAGAAGAAGCUCCUGACAUGGACUGUUCUCCAUUUGCUGUUGGAAAUGGUGAGGAGGGGAGUUUCUUUGGAUCUAAGACGGCUGAUCCAGGCCGUGAAGAAUCC